AGGGAGCCAGUUCUGUCCAGGACAGCUGCAAGCUAAACCCCAAAGCAGGUCAAUUCAUAGGAACUAAUAAAAGGACUCUCUGAAGGAACCCUUUUGCUCACCCAGGCUCUGAGGUCACAGAUUGUACCUUGUGCUGCAGGACUCUGUUCCGGAAAAUGACUGCUGCUUCUCUUGAGGGGAACAACUUCAGGGCUCAUGUAAGAGUAUGGACAAGCUGUUCAAAAUAUCUGAGAAACUGAAAUGAUGGAAAGCUGAUUAAGAAUCAAAGAAGAUCUGCUGAGGAAAAAAAUAUUAGUCCUGUGUUUUUAUUAGCUUCCUAAUGCAUAAAGACACCUGACAGGGUUUUUGUGUGUGUGUUUUUGUUUUUCCUGCAUUUUUUUACAUUAGACAUUCAAGUUUUGAAUGCCCUGUUUUUCCCCGUAGACUUUUAUGAAUGAUGGGAGAAGUGGUAGUCUUAUGACAUCAUUGUAACCAAUAAACUUCAAUGAAUGAGAUGGGAAAUUAUAUUUAUUCAGACUGUUUAAAAACAGGGGGAUUUACUGUUUGUUUGCUUCUAUUAAUCUCUAUUUAACUCAGGUAAGGGCUGAGAAAGCUCCCAGUCCACUCUGAGUCCUCCAAAGAGACUUCUAGCAAAAGGAAGUUUUUUGGAUCUUGCUAAAAAACCAGCAGAGGAAAAAAAAG